CAUCGUCUCCAUUCACCCAUUGCGAAACAGCUCCAGUCUCCACAAUCCACCGCCAAGAGCAGCUAGUUCGUCGCGCUAUGAGGACAACAUUUAGAUUGAAAGUGAAGCAACAAAAUGCCGUUCUUUAGAACUCGUCCUCGGUAUGGAAUCAAACAUGCACAGAGUUGUCAUUAGGGUUUUCCUUAUCUGCGGGUCGUGGAAGUCUCCCUUUCUAGGAUUUUUGAGGAAGCCACUUGCUAGGAACUGAGCAUAGCAAUCUUAAAUGAUAGGAAGAAGCUAAGCUGCAUGAAUCACAAGUAAAACCAUCUGUUGCUGCUGAAGAUGUUCUUCUGAUCAGGGAGGGGAAUAUAGACAAUUAUUUGUCAGUGGCUUGAAUAACUCAAAAGAAGAAGAGGUUUCACUCCUUAAAAAUAUUCACUGGAAAGAGUUGUCAUUGUUGGUAUAUGUUUGGCUAGGAUUCCUUCUAGUUCAGAUAGUCAAGGUAAUUAAAUAAUCUACCUUUUUCAACAUCUUAUUAAAUAUUUCAUCAACUAA